CCUCACCGAGCAACCCCACUGCACAGUCGUCGUACAUCUUGCCAUCAAUAAUUGAUCCCAAUAAUUUCAAGAAAAGGGAUCAUUUUUUCUUUAUUUUUGUAAGAACAUAAGCAACAGAGAAAUAUUUUUUUUCAAAAAACAAACUGGCCGCCCUGCGUUUGAAAUUCCUACACUCAGUUAUAUGGAUUCCAUGGAGAAUCCAAAACCAUUUCAAAAAGCAAGGAAUAACUGGCCCUGCCAGCCAUCCAAUCUUCUAAAUGCUAAGGGUGUGUCCAAGCCAUCGUCUAAUUUUAACUGUGAUGUUCUUUACAGACUGGCUCCAUUUACUAUACAAGAAUGGUCAAGGAGGAAUGGGAAGACGUGCGUUUCUCCAUUGAUUUGGAGUCAAGCCCAGGUUGUUGGCUAUAUCUGAUCCACACAUGAUCAAGGAGAUUCUCACAAAUACAACUGCAGGGUCAUGAUGUAGUCUCCAUCCUUGAUCGAGUUUCCUACUGUUGCUAAUUAUGAUAUAUUUUUUUUCUUUUUUGGGAUUAGACAUACCAUGGUUAAGGAAAAAUAAAUCGAGAUUUCUGACUCUGGCUUGGCAUGGAUCUUUGGAGGCAAACAAACAGAGGACAGAACACAGAGAGGAGUUGGGACUUGUGGAUACAUGUCUCCAGGAUAUGCAUUGGAUGGCGUUUUCUCAAUCAAGGGUGAUGUCUUUAGCUUUGGUUUAGUUGCACUUGGAACUCUGUGGGAAAAGAAAUACGGCAUCUUACAAGUCUAAUCAUAACUUUUAGCCUUUCAGCUUAUGUGAGUAAUCAAGAUUUUUGUAGCCACUCUUUGUUUGUCUCUGCUACGUACUAAUUUUGAUUUUUGAAGUUUUCCCAUGCAUGGAGGUUGUGGAAAGAGGAAAAGGUACUGUAUGGAUAGAGAAUUAUGCGAAACUUGUGAUGCCAAUGAAUUUGUGAGGUGUGUGAAUGUUGGCCUCUUAUGUGUGCAAGAACAUCCAUGGGAUCGUUCAACCUUGUCGAACAAAGUUUUCAUGCUUGGAAGUGAAA